rnacentral:tRNA from 1 species
GGACUUGUGGCGCAACUGGUAGCGCGUCUGACCCAAGAUCAGAAGAUUAAGCGUUCAAGUCACUUUAAGGACA